rnacentral:lncRNA from 1 species
GAACACAAUGCCAAGUUUCUGGAUGGCUAUGACAGUACAUCACACCUCCAAUAACUUCGGAGAAUGGGGGAGUUAAACGUGGUUUGGCUAGCUCACAACCCAUGGUGUUGGCCAAUGGUAAAAUGCAAUUGAAAGGGGGAGACGUCCCCUCCAAUAGCUUUGGAGAUUUUAACUUUUGCGAUAAGAUCUAAAAUCUGUUUGUUCAGGUCCACACAGCAAUUUGGCAAGCUUUUAUUUAUGUUUUCAACUUAUCUGUUCAUGUGUGGCUAUGCGAAACAUUUGCGUCAAUUGAUCUAAAAAUCCAAAAGAGAAGUAGAAUAUAUGUCGCCUUCAAUGCAUUGCCAUCUUCAGGUUUCAUAUUCCUAGGUCCACAAAAAUCUCAUUGAUGCUAGUAGUGGUGGCAUUGAUCUGAUAUACUAGUAAGGGGGUGCUAGGGAGCUUUACAUUAAAAUGUUAUGUGAUUUCAUUGCAUUAUAUAGUAAUGAAAUUUAGGUUCACCCGUGCUAAAGUGGGGAAAUUUUACAAUUUAUCACAUUUAUAUUGUAAUUGUAGCAGCUUAUACUUCAUGUAGCAGCAGAAGCAGAAACUGCACUUGUGACG